rnacentral:sRNA from 1 species
CCGCUCCGGGAGAGUUAGGGCUCCGAGCCGAGCGCGCGGAGCAGCUGGGGCCGGGGCGCGGAUGCUGGAAGUUCACAUCCCGUCGGUGGGGCCCGAGGCCGAGGGGCCCAGGCAGAGCCCGGAGAAAAGCCACAUGAUCAAGAAGCUGUACAAAGUGCCCGACUUCCCCUCGAAACGCCUGCCCAACUGGAGGACCAGAGGGUUGGAACAGCGCCGGCAGGGCUUGGAGGCUUACAUCCAGGGCAUCCUGUACCUGAACCAGGAGGUGCCCAAGGAGUUACUGGAAUUCCUGAGACUUCGGCACUUCCCCACAGACCCCAAGGCUAGCAACUGGGGCACCGUGAGGGAGUUCCUGCCUGGCGACAGCAGCUCCCAGCAGCACCAGCGGCCUGUCCUGAGCUUCCAUGUGGAUCCCUAUGUUUGCAACCCCUCCCCAGGUGAGGAGGUGCCUAGAUAUGGGGCUACAGGGCUGGGUUGUGGGCUUUGCAUUUCUCGGCUCCUGGGACCCUCAGGCAGCAUCUCCUUCCUGCUGCCCACCUCUGGAGCCACUACCUCCUGCUCCUGUCCCCUGGAGCCUGCUUUGUAGACACAAGGAAAACAAGUUUGGCUUCCCUGGUCUCCAUUUCUUCAGCAGCCUGACUUCUUUACCAAGCUGAUGUGAAAAGAAUGUGACCUGGGAAUGCGGAGGCUUCAUUUGGGGUGGACAGCUGCUGUCUGCUGCCUUGGCAGGGGCUCCUACUCCCAAGUGGGGGCUGAGCCCAUGAGCAGGAGCUCAAGGAGCUGCAGGUCUGAGGCCAGACCUGUUUAAUUCUAUCCCACAGAGUCGCUGCCCAACGUGGUGGUGAAUGGUGUGCUCCAGGGCCUCUACAGCUUCAGCAUCAGCCCAGAUAAAGCCCAGCCAAAGGCGGCCUGUCACCCUGCUCCUCUGCCACCGAUGCCCUGAUCAGUCCAGAGGCCUUUGGCUGCCUCCUAAGAAAGUCAUGUGCCUCUGUCCUAUGAACUCCAUAUAAGGCUGGGUCCUCCUUUGGCCUGGAACCAGGACUUAAUUACCCAGUGCCCAGUUGUGCCACAUUCCCACUCAAGGCUCAGAACUUGGCUCGCAUUGGUAGCUGGAGGUGGUAGAAUCUGCAUGCUCUUAGAGCCCAACAGCCAAGGCAGGGUCAAGAAGAUAAGUAAUAAAAGAGGAAGUCAGCCAGGCGCGGUGGCUCAUGCCUGUAAUCCCAGCACUUUGGGAGGCCAAGGUGGGUGGAUCACCUGAGGUCAGGAGUUCGAGACCAGCCUGACCACCAUGGAGAAACCCCGUCUCUACUAAAAAUACAAAAUUAGCCGGGCAUUGUGGCAUCCGCCACCAUGCCCGGCUAAUUUUUGUAUUUUUAAUAGAGACGGGUUUCACCACGUUGGCCAGGCUGGUCUUGUACUCCUGACGUCAGGUGAUCCACCCACCUCGGCUUCCCAAAGUGCUGGGAUUACGGGCGUGAGCCACCGUGCUCGGCCCAAGGCAGGAGAAUCUCUUGAAGCCAGGAGGCGGAAGUUGUGGUGAGCCGAGAUCGCGCCACUGCACUCCAGCCUGGGCAACAAGAGUGAAACUCUGUCUCAAAAUAAAUAAAUAAUAAAGGAAGAAGUCAGCUGGGUGCAGAGGCUCAUGCCUGUAAUCCCAAUACUUUAGGAGGCCAAGGCAGGAGGAUGCUUGAGUCUGGAAGUUUGAGACCAGCCAGCGCAACAUAGUGAGACCUGUAGACCUGUCUCUACCAAAAAAAAAAAAAAAAAAAAAAUCAAUUUAGAGGUAGGCUAUGAAAAAGUACAGAUACAUCCCUUAACAUAGACUGGAGGGUGGUGGCAAAUGUGGAGGCCCAGUAGCUGGCAAAGUUUAGAAGCAGGGGGCAAAAGCUCCUGCCUGACUUUUCCUGGGUAGCUCCUGGGUCAAAAUUUCAGGCAGGAUCCCAGGGAAGGGGCAGGCACCCGUUGCCACAGGAGAGUUGCAGGCAUGUUGGGAUGUAGGCCUAGGGGAGGUGCUGCAGGCUCAAGAACCAGGCCCACACAUUAUAUAUUAAAAAAAAAAAACCCACUUUUUUUUUUAUUGGUCAGUGUUGGUAGGAGUUUGUUACAAAACUGAGUCCAUGGGCCUGUGGAAUGUGAGGGGAGUGGGUCCGCUCCACCAGAUGCCAGCACCGGGGCCAGUGCAGCUCAGAGCCCUGUGGCGGACUACAGGGCCUGCACAGACGGUCACUCAAAGAAAGACGUCCCUGUGCCCUACUCCUUGGCGAUGGCAAAGGGCUUCUCCACCUCGAUCUUGCCGCAGUCUGCGAUGAUCACAUCCUUCAGGGGUUUAUCCCGGCUGUCUGUCUUGGUGCUCUCCACCUUCCGCACCACCUCCUGGAAAAGAAAGGUGGAAGUAGGAGGGCAUGGUGGAUCAGGAGGUCCACCGCUCAGGAGAAAGGCCCCAGCGUAUGGCUCAGGAGGGCUAAGACCCACAAGUGAUCAACAGCACACAAAACUGGAGGCACCAAAAUUCUAACAGACUCCUGGCCAGAGCAGGGAGAAUGCAGAUUUGACGAGGGGGUACAGGAAUUUUGUUCCUUUGAAGUAAGACCCAGGUUGGGCCAAGGGUGAGGAGGAGGAAGAGGGUGACCAGGGCAUGUGGCUUCUCAGGGACACUGCGUUCAGCUGCACUCUGUAUACCUCAGGGGUGGGACCAGCACGUCACUGAGUGAAUGAGGGGAGGGAGGCUCUGGCAGUUGUGCAGCCUUCCUGGCUGGGCUCUGAGGGGGCUGGAAGAAUUUAGAACCUUGGAGGCAUGGAGGUACAGGGUUUAUUCUGGACAGGAGCACUGGGCUGCAUCUGUGGGUUGGGUCCUUUUGGGAAAGGGAUGGACACAUGGAGCUCCUGCCCUGAGGUCUGUGUUGACUCCCCGGUGAGGAUUGCCCAGUAGUAGCCCUUGCUUCCACAACUCACCAUGCCCUCUAGAACUUUGCCAAACACCACAUGCUUGCCAUCUAGCCAGGCUGUCUUGACUGUCGUGAUGAAGAACUGGGAGCCGUUGGUGUCUUUGCCUGCGUUGGCCAUGCUCACCCAGCCAGGCCCGUAGUGCUUCAGUUUGAAGUUCUCAUCGGGGAAGCGCUCACCGUAGAUGCUCUUUCCUGGGAAAAAAGACAGAGCAGGUCAGGGGCGCUGGAUUGCGCCAAACCAAGCAGACAUUCGGGGCCAGGACUGAGGGGGCUUAACCUGUCCUCUGUGCCAGGCUAGGCUGGAGUGGACUACAAGGACAUAAAAGCUGCGUCCUUCCUAUCUUCUGGCCUCAGAGCCAAGCCAUGCUGACUGAGGCCAAGUGGGGCAUCAGGCCAGGCUGAUGUGGUGAACAGCUCACAGAAGGAUUACUUCAAGAAGAUAGUUUUGUGGCUUUUAAAUAAGGCGCAUGUUAUCAGCUCCCCUUAGCUAUAGCCCAGGCCUGCCACGGAGGGACUUUGGUGGAGGGAAGUGCCGUGCAGGAUGCAGGGGAGUCAACAGGGUCGGAACUCUCCAGAAAAGGAGGACUGCUGUGGCUGACCAGCCUGUUUUCCUAUGAGCACAAAAGACACAGGCAUAGCUGCAGAGGAGAAAGCAGCCAGAGAUGGGUGGGGAGGGGCAGAAAAGAGGGGCUGCCCCUUGGAUUCCGGAGAGUCAAAGCCUCUUAACAAGGAAUGAACAGGAAUAAAAGACAGCUGUGAGUGUG